rnacentral:tRNA from 1 species
UCCCUGGUGGCCUAGUGGUUAAGGAUUCAGCAUUGUCAAUGUUGUGGCUCGGGUUUAAUCCCUGGCCCAGGAA